GACGAAUGCUGGCUGCGUGCUUAACACAUGCAAGUCGAACGGUGAAGGAGAGCUUGCUCUCCGGAUCAGUGGCGAACGGGUGAGUAACACGUGGGCAACCUGCCCCUCACUCUGGGAUAACGCCGGGAAACCGGCGCUAAUACCGGAUACGACCAGGCGCGACAUCUCGCCUGGUGGAAAGAAUUUCGGUGAGGGAUGGGCCCGCGGCCUAUCAGCUAGUUGGUGGGGUAACGGCCCACCAAGGCGACGACGGGUAGCCGGCCUGAGAGGGCGACCGGCCACACUGGGACUGAGACACGGCCCAGACUCCUACGGGAGGCAGCAGUGGGGAAUAUUGCGCAAUGGGCGAAAGCCUGACGCAGCGACGCAGCGUGAGGGACGACGGCCUUCGGGUUGUAAACCUCUUUCAGCGGGGACGAAGCGAAAGUGACGGUACCCGCAGAAGAAGCACCGGCUAACUACGUGCCAGCCGCCGCUGUAAGAC
rnacentral:rRNA from 1 species